CACUCUCUUAAGUCACUCAUUCUAUCUAGGCAACAGUAUUUAAGCCAUUAUAACAUAAUAUAGUGCUUAGAAGAAGAGAAAAAAACCUGAAGCUUCCCUGUCACAUGGUCUUGCUGCAUUUUUGAUAAUUAAGGCCACGCCUCCAAGCUGGACCAAGCAGGACCAAAGCUGGGAGUUGCUGGAGCCUGGAGCAGUUUGCCACUUCUGUAAGCAUGCAAAAGCAAGUGUAACUGCAGCUAGGAAGCUAGCUGAUGUGAUAAUCCCUUGGCCUCAAGAGCACACUUUGUAAAUUUUUUGCAUAGCAUGUUUUUAAUAGAUAGUGGCCACAACAAAAGCUGUGGUUUUGAAACCCAUGAUGUUGUUUAAAAUAAGAGUGAAAUAAGUAUAAAUAUAGUGUAUAAAUAAAUGAUAAAUCUUGAGAUGUUAAUAGGAAUUUAUGAACACAUUUUACCAAUUUUUAGAGGGACUCCAGAGUCCCAUCAUACUUUUCACAAGUGCCUAGUCCAUCACUUUUGAUCUAUAUAUUAUAUCAUUUAUACUGGCUUAGGUUAGCUAAGCCUAACACCUCCCAAACAGCUUUAUUCAUUCAUUCAUUCUGUGUGCUCUCUUUUGUUUUCAAGAAUGUGUAUCUUCAGAACUGCGCGCUCUAAAUCUAUCAGACCUUUUUUUCUGUUGGAAAAAGUCUUUCUUUGCUACUUCCAGUUGGUUAGAGAGCAGUACUACAUACAAGAAUCUCUCAAACUCGUGAGAAAAUGCCCAGCAAUAACGACACUACUGUAGAGGAUUCAUAAAAUUGCACUUCGUGGCAAGUUACAGCAACUUUUGUCUGGACUACAACGACAUAAAUGUCUUCCCCCACAAGCCCCACGUCAGAUCCUAAGCUCGAGACAUUCCAAUUUAUUUAUGCAGCAUUGUUUGUAUCAUUAUAAUAACAUUUUUUUAUUGUUUAGACGACAAUUUUUGUAAAUAUUCUUCAUUUUAUUUCUCCUUGUUUCUCGAUGGGUCGGCAUGGAUUGAAGGCAGUCAAGGCACACCUCCAGUGCUCCUCCUUCACACUAUCACGUUUUUCAUUCCUCCAUUUCAAACUAAACAUAAACAAGUUAUUUGCCUGGUCAGGCUACCAGUAUUAAUACAGUCUGCCCAGAUCUAUUACUGCUGGUCAGGCUACCACUAUUAUUUCAAUAAUAAUAACAAGUCUGCCCAGAUCUUUUACGCUACUAAUUGUGCCUUCACCACAUUCACCUGCCCAUUGAGUUUUUCUUUGUCGAGCCAGAGUACUCUUGUCAGAAAUGAUCAGCAUAGAAGCUUGGCGUGCAUGUAUAGGAUCAUUCAAAAGUAGCAGGUAUGGGGUUUCUUUGAAAGGGCCU